ACCUUACUUGUAAGGAGUUGACGGUACCGUAUGAAUAAGCACCGGCUAACUCCGUGCCAACAACCGCGGUAAUACGGAGGGUGCAAGCGUUAUCCGGAUUUAUUGGGUUUAAAGGGUCCGCAGGCGGACUUGUAAGUCAUAGGUGAAAGCCCGGAGCUCAACUGUCUAACUGCCUUUGAUACUGCGAGUCUUGAGUGUUGUUGAAGUAGCUGGAAUGUGUAUUGUAACGGUGAAAUGCUUAGAUAUUACACACAAUACCCAUUGCCAAGGCAGGUUACUAAAUCUUAACUGACGCUGAGGGACGAAAGCGUGGGGAGCGAACAGGAUUAGAUACCCUGGUAGUCCACGCCUUAAACGAUGGAUACUGUCUGUUGGAUCGCAACAUUCAGUGGAUGAGCGAAAGCGAUAAGUAUCCCACCUGGGAAGUACGUUCGCAAG
rnacentral:rRNA from 1 species